rnacentral:tRNA from 1 species
GCUCCCGUGACGGAACUGGCAGACGUGCUGGAUCGAGCAUCCAGAUUUUGCAGGUUCGACUCCUGCCGGGAGUACCA